GGAGAGAUCCCAGAGCUCUUCCUGGGAAGGGUUCUCCGGGUGGAUCCCAAGGACUUCUGCAGUGGAGGAUCGGUCUGAGUGGAUCCCGAGAACUUUUCCAGUGGAGGAUCGGUCUGAGUGGAUCCCGAGAGCUCUUCCAGUGACUGAUUCUCCAAGUGGAUCCCGAGAACUUUUCCAGGGAAGGAUUCUCCAAGUGGAUCCCGAGAACUUUUCCAGGGAAGGAUUCUCCAAGUGGAUCCCAAGAACUUUUCCAUUGAAUUAUUCUCCAAGUGGAUCCCAAGAACUUUUCCAGUGACUGAUUCUCCAAGUGGAUCCCGAGAACUUUUCCAGUGACUGAUUCUCCAAGUGGAUCCCAAGAACUUUUCCAGUGAUUCUCCAAGUGGAUCCCGAGAACUUUUCCAUUGAAUGAUUCUCCAAGUGGAUCCCAGGAGCUCUUCCAGUGAAGGAUCGGUCUGAGUGGAUCCCGAGAACUUUUCCUGGGAUGGAUUGGUCUGGAGAGAUCCCAGGAGCUUCUGCAGUGAAAGAUCUCCAAGUUGAUUUCUCCAAGUGGAUCCCAGGAACUUCUCCAGUGGAGGAUCGGUCUGCACGGAUCCCGAGAACUUUUCCAGGGAAGGAUUCUCCAAGUGGAUCCCAGGAACUUUUCCUGGGAAGGAUUAUCCAGGUGGAUCCCAGGAAUUUUCCAGAGGAGGAUUCCCCAGGUGGAUCCCAGGAGCUUUUCCAGGGACGGAUUGGUCUGGAGAGAUCCCAGGAGCUCUCCACAGGAUGGAUUUCUCCGGGUGGAUCCCGGAACUCCCCCAAGGAAGGACUCGUUGGAGCAGAUCCCAGGAGCUCCUCCAGUGAAGGAUUUCUCCGAGUGGAUCCCAGGGAUUUCCCAGUGAAUAAUUCUUCUGAGUGGAUCCCGGGGGCUUUCCCAGUGAAGGAUUUCUCCGAGUGGAUCUCAGGAGCUCCUCCAGUGAAGGAUUCCUCCAAGUGGAUCCCGGGGGCUUUCCCAGUGAAUAAUUCUUCUGAGUGGAUCCCAGGGAUUUCCCAGUGAAUAAUUCCUCUUAGUGGAUCCCAGGGAUUUCCCAAUGAAGGAUUUCUCUGAGUGGAUCCCAGGAACUUUCCCAGUGAAUAAUUCUUCUGAGUGGAUCCCGGGAAUUUCCCAGGGAAGGAUUUCUCUGAGUGGAUCCCGGGGGCUGCUCCAGUGAAGGAUUCUCCGAGUGGAUCCCAGGGAUUUCCCAGGGAAGGAUUCUCUGAGUGGAUCCCAGGGAUUUCCCAGUGAAAGAUUCCUCCGAGUGGAUCCCGGGGGCUGCUCCAGCAGAGGAUUGGCCCGGGCGGAUCCCGGGAACUCUUUGGGAAGGAUUGGUCGGGGCAGAUCCCAGGGAUUCCCCUCGAUCCCGGCGGGAUCCCGAUGGGAGCGGGGAGAGCGAGGAGAGAUCCGGGAGCGCUCCCAGGGAAGGAUUCCCCAGGUGGAUCCCCGGGGAUCGAGAGCUUUGGGACCUGGAAUUCCCCAUGAACUGAGAACUUUGGGAUCCGGAAUUCCCAGGGAUCGAGAACUUUGGGAUCCAGAAUUCCUCAUGGAAUGAGAACUUUGGGAUCACCGGGGAUCAAAAACUUUGGGAUCCCCAAAUCCCCCUGGAUCAAGAACUCUGGGAUCUGGAAUUCCCAUGAACUGAGAACUUUGGGAUCCAGAAUUCCCAUGGAUUGAGAACUUUGGGAUCCCCAGGGAUCGAGAGCUUUGGGAUCUGGAAUUCCCCAUAAACUGAGAACUUUGGGAUCCCCACAAAUCAAAAACUUUGGGAUCCCCUUGGACUGAGAACCUUGGGAUCCCCAGGGAUCGAGAGCUUUGGGAUCUGGAAUUCCCAUGAACUGAAAACUUUGGGAUCCCCCUGGAAUGAGAACUUUGGGAUCCCCCUGGAAUGAGAACUUUGGGAUCCCCAGGGAUCGAGAACUUUGGGAUCUGGAAUUCCCCAUGAACUGAGAACUUUGGGAUCCUCUUGGAAUGAGAACUUUGGGAUCCCCAGAUCCCCCUGGAUCGAGAACUCUGGGAUCUG
rnacentral:lncRNA from 1 species